CCUUUUCAAACCCUAAAUUCUUUGAGAUAGCGUCCAUCCUUCUCUGUUCCCAUUUUACAGAAUCAUAGGUGAUGGUAACCUCCACUUGGGAUGGAAGGUUUUUCAACUACUAUUACAGCUCGUACAAACUUGAGCAUCUCCAUUCUCUUCUCUCGCCUCUCAAGGAGACCUUCUAAACCUCUGUUAAUAGAUCUCUUUUCAAAUCGACCCAAAACCAAAUAUGCAGUCAAAGUUUUCUUCACCUUCGAGUCAUUCGAAGUAUCCUAGUCUUGUGACCUUGUCAGAAGGAGAAGCCAGAGUAAUUAAUGUAAUCUCUACGAGUUGCAGACAGCACUUCUGAAGGAUGUAAGCUACUAUAGUGUGUGCGAGUCGAUGGGGUAGUGAUGUACUGAUACAAAAGCUUCUUCGUCAAAGAACAUGGAUACUAAAGCUUUAAAUUGUAUAGGCUAUUCUGGAGAUGUUAACUAAGAGAAAAGUUACAAUUAUGUAUAUAGUGUACUGGAGUAUUUCUUUUUAGUUCAUUUAAAUUGCCUGUGGUGUAUGACACUUGAAAAUGUUGACAUUAAUAUGAAUGUUUGCGGUAUUGCGAUGAGUAAAUGAAUAUAUUUGCAGCU